rnacentral:misc_RNA from 1 species
GAACUGCGAUAAGUAAUGUGAAUUGCAGAAUUCAGUGAAUCAUCGAGUCUUUGAACGCACAUUGCGCCCCCUGGCAUUCCGGGGGGCAUGCCUGUCCGAGCGUCAUUGCUGCCCUUCAAGCCCGGCUUGUGUGUUGGGUCGUCGCCCCCUCCGGGGGACGGGCCCGAAAGGCAGCGGCGGCACCGCGUCCGGUCCUCGAGCGUAUGGGGCUUUGUCACCCGCUCGAUAAGGACCGGCCGGGCGCCAGCCGGCGUCUCCAACCUUUUUUUCUCAGGUUGACCUCGGAUCAGGUAGGGAUACCCGCUGAACUUAAGC